rnacentral:rRNA from 1 species
UACGGAGGGUGCAAGCGUUGUUCGGAAUUACUGGGCGUAAAUGCGCACGUAGGCGGCUUUGUAAGUUAGAGGUGAAAGCCCGGGGCUCAACCCCGGAAUAGCCUUUAAGACUGCAUCGCUUGAACACGGGAGAGGUGAGUGGAAUUCCGAGUGUAGAGGUGAAAUUCGUAGAUAUUCGCAAGAACACCAGUGGCGAAGGCGGCUCACUGGCCCGAUACUGACGCCGAGGUGCGAAAGCGUGGGGAGCAAACAGG